rnacentral:rRNA from 1 species
GUGGAAGAUUACUAAUGAGAGUGGCGAACGGGUGAGUAACGCGUGAGCAACCUGCCUAUGACAGUGGGAUAGCCUCGGGAAACCGGGAUUAAUACCGCAUAAAAUCGUAGAAACACAUGUUUCAACGGUCAAAGAUUUAUCGGUCAUAGAUGGGCUCGCGUCUGAUUAGCUAGUUGGUGAGAUAACAGCCCACCAAGGCGACGAUCAGUAGCCGGUCUGAGAGGAUGAACGGCCACAUUGGAACUGAGACACGGUCCAAACUCCUACGGGAGGCAGCAGUGGGGAAUAUUGCACAAUGGGGGAAACCCUGAUGCAGCGACGCCGCGUGAACGAAGAAGGUAUUCGUAUCGUAAAGUUCUGUCCUAUGGGAAGAUAAUGACAGUACCAUAGAAGAAAGCUCCGGCUAAAUACGUGCCAGCAGCCGCGGUAAUACGUAUGGAGCGAGCGUUGUCCGGAAUUAUUGGGCGUAAAGGGUACGCAGGCGGUUUAAUAAGUCGAAUGUUAAAGAUCGGGGCUCAACCCCGUAAAGCAUUGGAAACUGAUAAACUUGAGUAGUGGAGAGGAAAGUGGAAUUCCUAGUGUAGUGGUGAAAUACGUAGAUAUUAGGAGGAAUACCAGUAGC